rnacentral:rRNA from 1 species
AUUGAACGCUGGCGGCAGGCCUAACACAUGCAAGUCGAGCGAGCGGCGGACGGGUGAGUAAUGUAUGGGGACUGCCCGUUAGAGGGGGAUAACUACUGGAAACGGUAGCUAAUCCCGCAUACUAGCGGAUACCCCAUAUGGGAUUAGCUAGUAGGUGAGGUAAUGGCGCACCUAGGCGACGAUCCCUAGCUGGUCUGAGAGGAUGAUCAGCCACACUGGGACUGAGACACGGCCCAGACUCCUACGGAGGCAGCAGUGGGGAAUAUUGGACAGUGGGCGAAAGCCUGAUGCAGCCAUGCCGCGUGUAUGAAGAAGGCCCUAGGGUUGUAAAGUACUUUCAGUCGGGAGGCGUUACCGAAAGAAGAAGCACCGGCUAACUCCGUGCCAGCAGCCGCGGUAAUUC